AGUCCCCUGGGCUUCCUGCAGGGACCUGGAUUCUUAGUAUUUCAGGCUGCUGUCCCGUUUUUUUUUUUUUCAUUUCCUUUUUGUUUUUGUUGUUGAUGUGACCGCGUGUCCACAAACCUGGGAUUCCCUCGCCCUCAGAUUCCAGAAUCCAAUUUCUUGGAUUUCAGUGUUUUUAAGGUGGGAGGUCUCGCUGUGCUUCUCAGGCUGGACUCAAAUUCCUGGGCUCAAGUGACUCCCCCGCCUCAGCCUCCUGAGUAGCUGGGACUACAGAGAUGGCAUGUCAGUCUGGUGGUCUAGCCAGAGGAGGACUCCUGGAGCUGGUGAACUGUGCAUGGAUAUGCAGUCAUGGGCAGCCCACCUCCUACUCCUCACCCCCCAGUGCCUGCAAGGGUCUGUCAUCUCCACCUUCGGGAUCUGGCCAGCCAGCUCGAUCAGCUUGUCCCAAGGGUUGCUUGGGCUACACCUUACACUGAGACAUCUCAUAAUUUGCAGCUAGACUUGCUGCUCAGGAGAGUGGAGCCUGCAGGAAACAAUGGCAGGAGAUCUGGGCUUUUUCUGGCUGCAGGCCUGACUGCAGCAGAGAAGGCAAUAGAGA
rnacentral:lncRNA from 1 species